GACUCAAUAGCUUAAUGGUAGAGUAUUUGAUAAAUAUUGCCUCUUGAAGUACCUUACUUAUAAUCAAAAGGCCAGGGUUUGAAUCCCUGUUGAUGCU
rfam:Lentinula edodes NBRC 111202 DNA, contig: scaffold461.